GGGAAAUAGCNCAGUGGGUAAAGCGCUUGCUUUGCAAGCAAGAGGACCUGAGUUAGGAUCCCCAGUGUCCACG
rnacentral:tRNA from 1 species